GUGCUUGUUUUCACCACACAUAAACUAAAAUUAGAAUGAUACAGAGAAGAUUAGCAUAGAGUUUAUAAGGAUACAUGCAAAUUAUGAGGCUUUCCCUAUUUUU
ensembl:snRNA U6 U6 spliceosomal RNA